UGGGGAAUUUUGGACAAUGGGCGAAAGCCUGAUCCAGCAAUGCCGCGUGUGUGAAGAAGGCCUUCGGGUUGUAAAGCACUUUUGUCCGGAAAGAAAUCCUUGGCUCUAAUACAGUCGGGGGAUGACGGUACCGGAAGAAUAAGCACCGGCUAACUACGUGCCAGCAGCCGCGGUAAUACGUAGGGUGCAAGCGUUAAUCGGAAUUACUGGGCGUAAAGCGUGCGCAGGCGGUUUGCUAAGACCGAUGUGAAAUCCCCGGGCUCAACCUGGGAACUGCAUUGGUGACUGGCAGGCUAGAGUAUGGCAGAGGGGGGUAGAAUUCCACGUGUAGCAGUGAAAUGCGUAGAGAUGUGGAGGAAUACCGAUGGCGAAGGCAGCCCCCUGGGCCAAUACUGACGCUCAUGCACGAAAGCGUGGGGGAGCAAAACAGGAUUAGAUACCCUGGUAGUCCACGCCCUAAACGAUGUCAACUAGUUGUUGGGGAUUCAUUUCCUUAGUAACGUAGCUAACGCGUGAAGUUGACCGCCUGGGGAGUACGGUCGCAAGAUUAAAACUCAAAGGAAUUGACGGGG
rnacentral:rRNA from 1 species